GCGCAGGUGGUGGAACGGCAGACACGCUAGCCUCAGGAGCUAGUGGGCGAAAGCCCUUGCAGGUUCAAAUCCUGUCCUGCGCA
rnacentral:tRNA from 1 species